GAAAACUCAAUGACAAAGAGAGUAGUUUAACUAGAAAUCUAAGCGAGCUGGCGUAGGUGAGAGGUCAGUAUGGAAAGUUAGAUGAACCGCACUUUUGAGAGGAUAAUCUGAAUACAUAGGAUUAUCGGUAUUCCGCCUUAAGGAUAAGAGAGGAUUUAGGAAUAAAUCAAGAAGAGUGGUACCGCGUUAAUUGACGUCUCUUGC
rnacentral:ncRNA from 1 species